rnacentral:rRNA from 1 species
GAUGAACGCUAGCGGCAGGCCUAACACAUGCAAGUCGAGGGGUAACAUAGAAAAGCUUGCUUUUCUGAUGACGACCGGCGCACGGGUGCGUAACGCGUAUACAACCUACCUUUUAGCGGGGAAUAGCCCAGGGAAACUUGGAUUAAUGCCUCAUAGUAUAUAAGCUUCUCCUGAAGUUUAUAUUAAACAUUUAUGGCUAUUAGAUGGGUAUGCGUCCUAUUAGUUAGUUGGUAAGGUAACGGCUUACCAAGGCAGCGAUAGGUAGGGGUCCUGAGAGGGAGAUCCCCACACUGGUACUGAGACACGGACCAGACUCCUACGGGAGGCAGCAGUGAGGAAUAUUGGACAAUGGGCGAGAGCCUGAUCCAGCCAUGCCGCGUGCAGGAAGACUGCCCUAUGGGUUGUAAACUGCUUUUACAGAGGAAGAACCACCCCCACGUGUGGGGGUUUGACGGUACUCUGCGAAUAAGGAUCGGCUAACUUCGUG